GGUGUAGCUCAGUGGUUGAGUACAUGCUUCGUAUGUAUGAUGUCCUCGGUUCAAUCCCCAGCUUCUCCC
rnacentral:tRNA from 1 species